GUUCCAGCUACUUGGGAAGCUGAGACAGGAUAUCUGCUUGAGCCCAGGAGUUCGUGGCUGCAGAGAGCUGUGAUCACACCACCGCACUCCAGCCAGGGCAACAGAGUGAGACCCUGACUCCAAAAGCAAAAACAAAAGAGCAAAAACGAGAUUCCAAUGUAUACUCCCACCAAUUAAUUUGAAGGUGACCAUAUCCCUCCUAUCAAAUACUGUCACUCAUUUACAUCUUUGCCAAAUGUGGGAAAACAUAAAGUUUGGCAACCCUAUAUUGACUCCACCAUGCCUUGGGAAAGGCAGCCCGCAUCAGUGGCAGGAAAUAUUGGUGGAGCGAGCUGGGACUUGCAGGUGACCAAGAAGGGGGAUCCCGGAACCGGAAUUGUCUCCCUUGGCGUUCCGGAAGUAGAAGCAGAGUCAUUGCUGGGUGGCGCCAGCCCUCAGACUUGCCUCUUUGCAGUAGGAAGAAGGCCUCCCCACAUACCUUCCCACACUCAUCACCUUAAGCCAGACUCGGUGUCCAGUGAAUAUGACCAUCUCUUGCCCAUUUUCUAAUGAGUGUUUUCAUUAAUGAGUUAUAAGAAUGUGGUGGGUAAAUCUAUGGGCUUUGAACUAGUGAAUCAACUUGGUUUCAGAAUCUGGCACUGCUACUUACUAGUGAAUUUAAGCAAGUUAUUUCACCUUUCAGAGUGUCAGUUCCCUCAUGCAUACAAGGAAGAUAAAAAAUAAUGUAUACAAAAGUAUUGGAGUAAUUAAUACAUGGAGAACUACAUGUAAAGCGUUUAGCAUGAUGUCUGA
rnacentral:lncRNA from 10 species